GUGCUCACUUCAGCAGCACAUACACUAAAAUUAUAAUGCUACAAAGAAUAUUUGUAUGGUCCCUGCACAAGAAUGACACAAAAAUUUGUGAAGUGUCCCAUGACAAA
ensembl:snRNA U6 U6 spliceosomal RNA